GUGCUCACUUCAGCAGCACAUAUACUAAAAUUGGAACAAUACAGAGAAGAAUACUAUGGCCCUGCACAAGGAUGACAUGCAAAUUUGUGAAGUGUUCCAUAUUUUU
rnacentral:snRNA from 1 species